rnacentral:rRNA from 1 species
AGCAGCCACGGUAAUUCCAGCUCCAAUAGCGUAUAUUAAAGUUGUUGCAGUUAAAAAGCUCGUAGUUGAAUUUCGGGAUUGACACAUCGGUCGUGCCUUAAGGGGUAUGAACUGGUGUAGUCAAUUUCUCACCUUCUGGAGAACCGCGAUGUCCUUAAUUGGGUGCCGCGAGGAACCAGGACCUUUACUUUGAAAAAAUUAGAGUGUUUAAAGCAGGCAUUUUUGCUUGAAUACAUUAGCAUGGAAUAAUAAAAUAGGACGGCAUGAUUCUAUUUUGUUGGUUUCUAGGAUCACCGUAAUGAUUAAUAGGGAUAGUUGGGGGCAUUAGUAUUCAAUUGUCAGAGGUGAAAUUCUUGGAUUUAUUGAAGACUAACUACUGCGAAAGCAUUUGCCAAGGAUGUUUUCAUUAAUCAAGAACGGAAGUUAGGGGAUCGAAGACGAUCAGAUACCGUCGUAGUCUUAACCAUAAACUAUGCCGACUAGGAAUCAGACGAUGUUAAUUUUUUAACGACUCGUUUGGCACCUUACG